rnacentral:rRNA from 1 species
GCAGUCGAACGAUGAAGCCCAGCUUGCUGGGUGGAUUAGUGGCGAACGGGUGAGUAACACGUGAGUAACCUGCCCUUGACUCUGGGAUAAGCGUUGGAAACGACGUCUAAUACCGGAUACGAGCUUCCACCGCAUGGUGAGUUGCUGGAAAGAAUUUUGGUCAAGGAUGGACUCGCGGCCUAUCAGCUUGUUGGUGAGGUAAUGGCUCACCAAGGCGACGACGGGUAGCCGGCCUGAGAGGGUGACCGGCCACACUGGGACUGAGACACGGCCCAGACUCCUACGGGAGGCAGCAGUGGGGAAUAUUGCACAAUGGGCGAAAGCCUGAUGCAGCAACGCCGCGUGAGGGACGACGGCCUUCGGGUUGUAAACCUCUUUUAGCAGGGAAGAAGCGAAAGUGACGGUACCUGCAGAAAAAGCACCGGCUAACUACGUGCCAGCAGCCGCGGUAAUACGUAGGGUGCAAGCGUUGUCCGGAAUUAUUGGGCGUAAAGAGCUCGUAGGCGGUUUGUCGCGUCUGCUGUGAAAUCCCGAGGCUCAACCUCGGGUCUGCAGUGGGUACGGGCAGACUAGAGUGCGGUAGGGGAGAUUGGAAUUCCUGGUGUAGCGGUGGAAUGCGCAGAUAUCAGGAGGAACACCGAUGGCGAAGGCAGAUCUCUGGGCCGCUACUGACGCUGAGGAGCGAAAGGGUGGGGAGCAAACAGGCUUAGAUACCCUGGUAGUCCACCCCGUAAACGUUGGGCGCUAGAUGUGGGGACCAUUCCACGGUUUCCGUGUCGUAGCUAACGCAUUAAGCGCCCCGCCUGGGGAGUACGGCCGCAAGGCUAAAACUCAAAGGAAUUGACGGGGGCCCGCACAAGCGGCGGAGCAUGCGGAUUAAUUCGAUGCAACGCGAAGAACCUUACCAAGGCUUGACAUAUACGAGAACGGGCCAGAAAUGGUCAACUCUUUGGACACUYGUAAACAGGUGGUGCAUGGUUGUCGUCAGCUCGUGUCGUGAGAUGUUGGGUUAAGUCCCGCAACGAGCGCAACCCUCGUUCUAUGUUGCCAGCACGUAAUGGUGGGAACUCAUGGGAUACUGCCGGGGUCAACUCGGAGGAAGGUGGGGACGACGUCAAAUCAUCAUGCCCCUUAUGUCUUGGGCUUCACGCAUGCUACAAUGGCCAGUACAAAGGGCUGCAAUACCGUAAGGUGGAGCGAAUCCCAAAAAGCUGGUCCCAGUUCGGAUUGAGGUCUGCAACUCGACCUCAUGAAGUCGGAGUCGCUAGUAAUCGCAGAUCAGCAACGCUGCGGUGAAUACGUUCCCGGGCCUUGUACACACCGCCCGUCAAGUCAUGAAAGUCGGUAACACCCGAAGCCAGUGGCCUAACCGCAAGGA